GAACGGGUGAGUAACACGUGGGUGAGCUGCCCUGCACUUUGGGAUAAGCCUGGGAAACUGGGUCUAAUACCGAAUAGGACCACGCGCUUCAUGGUGUGUGGUGGAAAGCUUUUGCGGUGUGGGAUGGGCCCGCGGCCUAUCAGCUUGUUGGUGGGGUAAUGGCCUACCAAGGCGACGACGGGUAGCCGGCCUGAGAGGGUGACCGGCCACACUGGGACUGAGAUACGGCCCAGACUCCUACGGGAGGCAGCAGUGGGGAAUAUUGCACAAUGGGCGCAAGCCUGAUGCAGCGACGCCGCGUGAGGGAUGACGGCCUUCGGGUUGUAAACCUCUUUCAAUAGGGACGAAGCGCAAGUGACGGUACCUAUAGAAGAAGCACCGGCCAACUACGUGCCAGCAGCCGCGGUAAUACGUAGGGUGCGAGCGUUGUCCGGAAUUACUGGGCGUAAAGAGCUCGUAGGUGGUUUGUCGCGUUGUUCGUGAAAACUCACAGCUUAACUGUGGGCGUGCGGGCGAUACGGGCAGACUAGAGUACUGCAGGGGAGACUGGAAUUCCUGGUGUAGCGGUGGAAUGCGCAGAUAUCAGGAGGAACACCGGUGGCGAAGGCGGGUCUCUGGGCAGUAACUGACGCUGAGGAGCGAAAGCGUGGGGAGCGAACAGGAUUAGAUACCCUGGUAGUCCACGCCGUANACGGUGGGUACUAGGUGUGGGUUCCUUCCUUGGGAUCCGUGCCGUAGCUAACGCAUUAAGUACCCCGCCUGGNNAGUACGGCCGCAAGGCUAAAACUCAAAGGAAUUGACGGGGGCCCGCACAAGCA
rnacentral:rRNA from 1 species